rnacentral:other from 1 species
AAUUCCAGCGAGAGGCAGAGGGAGCGGGCGGACCCGUCAGGGUUGCAGAGCGGAGAGAGCCGAGCGAGCCAGGCGAGCGGAGUCGCGCUCCGGGCGCCCAGGGCAGGGAGAGGAUCCAGAGUGAAAGGAAGGCUUCGCCGCCGGCCCAGCCGCCCCCUGCCCACCCUUCCCGCCACCCUCUGCCGGCGAUCCGCACGCCCCGCCGCAUCCACGAAACUUUGCCCACUGCAGCAGGCGGGCACAUUCCCCUGGAACUUACAACACCCCAGCGAGAACGCGACUCUUCGGACGCGGGGAAGCUCUUUAGCCCAUUUGGGGAGACAUCUCCCCGCCCC